GUUUUAAUAGUUUAAUCAAAACCUUGGUCUUGUAAACCAAAAUUAAGGUGACACCUUUUAAAACU
rnacentral:tRNA from 1 species